AUUGAACGCUGGCGGCAGGCCUAACACAUGCAAAUCGAACGAGCGGCGGACGGGUGAGUAAUGUCUGGGAAACUGCCUGACGGAGGGGGAUAACUACUGGAAACGGUAGCUAAUAACGCAUACCACCAGAUGUGCCCAGAUGGGAUUAGCUAGUUGGUGGGGUAACGGCUCACCAAGGCGACGAUCCCUAGCGGGUCUGAGAGGAUGACCAGCCACACUGGAACUGAGACACGGUCCAGACUCCUACGGGAGGCAGCAGUGGAGAAUAUUGCACAAUGGGCGCAAGCCUGAUGCAGCCAUGCGGCGGGUAUGAAGAAGGCCUUCGGGUUGUAAAGUACUUUCAGCGGGGAGGGGUUACCCGCAGAAGAAGAGCCGGCUAACUCCGUGCCAGCGGCCGCGGUAAUUUA
rnacentral:rRNA from 1 species